rnacentral:rRNA from 1 species
AUACAGAGGGUGCGAGCGUUAAUCGGAAUUACUGGGCGUAAAGCGCGCGUAGGCGGUCUAUUAAGUCAGAUGUGAAAUCCCAGGGCUCAACCUUGGAACUGCAUCUGAUACUGGUAGACUAGAGUUUGGAGAGGGAAGUAGAAUUUCAGGUGUAGCGGUGAAAUGCAUAGAGAUCUGAAGGAAUACCAGUGGCGAAGGCGACUUCCUGGCCAAAAACUGACGCUGAGGUGCGAAAGCGUGGGUAGCAAACGGGAUUAGAUACCCUAGUAGUCC